rnacentral:lncRNA from 1 species
CACAUGGUGGCUCACAACCAUCUGAUGCCCUCACAACCAUCUGAUGCCCUCUUCUGGUAUGUCUAAAGACAGCUACAGGGUACUUAUAUAUAAUCAAUCAGUCAAUCGAUCAAUCUUUAAAAAAAAAAAGAAACAACAGAUAAAAUUAAGUAUGAUGGUGCAUGACUGUAAUCCCAGCACCCAAGAGGUGGAGGCAGGAGGAUUAGAAAUUGACAUUAAAGUCAUCCUUGACUACCACAUGGCAAGUUUGAGACCAGCUUGGGAUACAUGAGAUCUUUCUCAAAAGCAAAUGAACAGACAGAAAUAGGUAAUAAAAAAUCUCUGUAUAGUUUUGAAGGAUCUCACAUGCUUCAGAAUGUAGUACGCACCUUUAAAUAGUUACAUGUGGUGCGUGUGGGUUUUGUUUCAAGUGAAGGUAGCAUUAGCCGCCUCAGAUACAGAGCUCAAGUCUGUGGAUACACACCACAACUUACUGGCUUUAUGGAUGAUUCUAAAGAUUAUCUUCUUAUCAGGACGUGAGUGCAGUUGGAUUAUUCUGUGUUUUGAGACACUGUGUCUUGUGUACCCCAGGCUGGUUUUAAACUUUCUAUGUAGCUGAAGAUGACCCUGAACUUCCCAUCUAUGUCAGAUAUUAUUAAAAUUUAGAUACAGAAAAACCAAUUCUGUUAAUAUAUAAAGUAGACAAUAGAGUUUUGGUCUGAAAGCAUGAACUUUAGUUUCAUUUUUUAAUCUUUAUAGGCUGAGGCAGGCAUUAUUAUUUAUUUAGUAGUUUGGAAGUUGAGACUUAGCCUUGUUUUAUUUCUCCUACCAGUGGCCUCUUGCUCUUCAUGUCUGCAAACAAUCUUCUAAUUCUUCUUUCUAAAUAAAGUUUUUUAUUUCAUUUU